UAAAAGGGUGCUUGCUUUGUUACGCUUGUAUGGCACAUCUGUGCGGCGCCGAGCUGGUUGAGUCCAGCCAGGUGUCCGUACCGGUGGGGUAUGGCUAUCAAGACAUAUCCAGCACACAAUUUUUGUCCACGGGAGGCAGUUGACUCGCAAUAAAUGCGUCGACGCCUUC
rnacentral:snRNA from 1 species